rnacentral:SRP_RNA from 1 species
GACGACGAGCUUCCUAUCCCCACCCUUGAGCC